UCCAGACUCCUACGGGAGGCAGCAGUAGGGAAUAUUGCUCAAUGGGGGAAACCCUGAAGCAGCAACGCCGCGUGGAGGAUGAAGGUUUUAGGAUUGUAAACUCCUUUUGUUAGAGAAGAUUAUGACGGUAUCUAACGAAUAAGCAUCGGCUAACUCCGUGCCAGCAGCCGCGGUAAUACGGAGGAUGCGAGCGUUAUCCGGAUUUAUUGGGUUUAAAGGGUGCGCAGGCGGAAUGUCAAGUCAGCGGUAAAAUUUCGGGGCUCAACCCCGUCGUGCCGUUGAAACUGGCAGUCUCGAGUUGGAGGGAAGUAUGCGGAAUGCGCGGUGUAGCGGUGAAAUGCAUAGAUAUCGCGCAGAACUCCGAUUGCGAAGGCAGCAUGCCGGCUCCACACUGACGCUGAGGCACGAAAGCGUGGGUAUCGAACAGGAUUAGAUACCCGUGUA
rnacentral:rRNA from 1 species